rnacentral:misc_RNA from 1 species
AACGGUCUAUACCUGCGGUACCUGCGGAGGGAUCAUUACAGAGUUCGUGCCCUCUGGGUAGAUCUCCCACCCACUGUUUUCCUUACGACCGUUGCUUUGGCGGGCCGCCGGCCCUGCCCGGCCGCCGGCGCCCAGCUGGCGCGCGCCCGCCAGAGGCCCUCCAGACUCUGAAUGUUAGCGUCGUCUGAGUACCACAUAAUAAGUUAAAACUUUUAACAAUGGAUCUCUAGAUCGGAAGAG